rnacentral:lncRNA from 1 species
AGUGUACUUAAAUUUAUGUCUUUUUACAUUGACAACAAUAUCGAUGCCAACUGUGUUAAAACUCAAAUAACAAAUUUAUUAAUACAAAGUAAGGAAUUACACAACCCUAAUAGGUACCAAACAAAGAGGAGUUUAAGUCUUUUUACAUUGACAACAAUAUCGAUGUCAACUGAGUUAAAACUCAAAUGACAAAUUUAUUAAUGCAAAGUAAGGAAUUACACAACCCUAAUAGGUACCAAACAAAGAGGAGUUUUCUUGAAUACUGUGAUCCCUAAUUCUUCUUCCAUAUCCACAUCCUCAACACUCAUUCCCUCAGGCAAUUUCCAAUCAAACCGAUAUAAGCAAUUUGCCACCACGAGCUGAAGAAGCAUAAUUGCGAAACUUGUCCCUGGACAACCUCUUCGUCCUACUCCAAAAGGAAAAAACUCCAAAUGUUGCCCCUUGAAAUCAACUGAACUUUUCAUGAAUCUAUCAGGUCGAAAGUCAUGAGGGUUUUCCCAAUAUUUCGGAUCAGUUCCAAUUGAUUUCGCAUUGAUGAUAACCCUUGUUUUGGCCGGGAUCUCGUAAUCUUCGACAACACAGUCCUUAAUUGUUUCUCAGGGGACCAAUAGAGGAGCUGGUGGGUGGAGCCUAAGUGUCUCUUUUAUGACUGAGUGUAAGUAAUUUAGUUUGGGAAUGUCACUUUCUUCAAUUUUGUCUCUUCCAUUGCCAACUUUUCGUACCUCAUAUUUCACCUUCUCCAUUGAUGGUGGAUUUCUUAUCAGUUCAGUGAAG